CGGAUGAACGCUAGCGGGAGGCUUAACACAUGCAAGUCGAGGGGUAAAUGGUAGCAAUACUAUGAGACCGGCGGACGGGUGCGUAACGCGUAUGCAACAUACCUUUAGCAGGGGGAUAGCCCGUGGAAACGCGGAUUAAUAUUCCAUAGUCCAGCAGUAUCGCAUGGUACCACUGGUAAAGAUUAAUCGGCUAAAGAUUGGCAUGCGUCUGAUUAGUUAGUUGGUAGGGUAACGGCCUACCAAGGCGACGAUCAGUAGGGGUUCUGAGAGGAUUACCCCCCACACUGGUACUGAGACACGGACCAGACUCCUACGGGAGGCAGCAGUGAGGAAUAUUGGUCAAUGGGCGGAAGCCUGAACCAGCCAUCCCGCGUGAAGGAAGACAGCCUUACGGGUUGUAAACUUCUUUUCUGUCAGAAGAAUAAGCUUGUCGAGACGAGUGAUGCCGGUAUGACAGGAAUAAGCAUCGGCUAACUCCGUG
rnacentral:rRNA from 1 species